CGACGGCUCCUAGGGAGAAGCCCCUGGGAGCUGGCUGGCGAAUUGCAAUGUCACCUCGCGCGGGGAUGAAUCCUCUGCAGACGACUGAAGUGACCAAGCGGGUCGUGUACGCGGUCAAGUAGCCUUGUUGCUACGAGUCGCUGAGCGUCAGCCCGUCCUUGGCUAGAUUUGU
rfam:Aspergillus kawachii IFO 4308 DNA, contig: scaffold00156.